rnacentral:lncRNA from 10 species
GUUGACAGACUGGAGCGCAGCGGAGACCUCGGCAUCUGCGGUGCUCGGGAUUGUGUCCCCUACGGUCUCUUACCGUGCCUCCCGAUGGCGGGAGCUGGAAUUUGGUCCCCAGACCCCUUGGGAAGACGCGCACACCCUGGCAAACCAUGUGUACACCCGCGGUAGAAGCAGGUGCGUGUUUUACAGUAGCUUAGCUGCGGAGUCCACCCAGCCCCUGGCAUCCGCAGCUCGGCUCGCUCAGGCUCUAGACCGAAGCUGCAGGCGAAGGAACGUGCUUGGUGAGGAUGGAAUCGGAAUGGGGAAGUUUUAAAUUAAAUAGUAAUUGUUGCUAACAUACAUGAAUUUAUUUUUUGUUUGUUUUGAGACAGGGUCUUGCUCUGUGGCCCAGCAGUGCGAUCCUAGCUCACUGCAGACUCGACCUCCCGGGCUGAAGCGAUCUUCUCACCUCAGCCUCCCGAGUAGCUGGGACCACAGGCGCACACCCAAUGCUUGGCUAAUUUUUAAAUUUUAAAACAGAGACAGGGUCUUGCUAUGUUGCCCAGGCUGGUCUGGAACUCCUGGCCUCAAGCAAUUCUCCUGCCUCGGCCUCCCAAAGUGCUGUGAUUACAGGCAUGCGCCACGGUUCCCAGCCAUUUCUACUUUUUCUUUGAGAAGGAGUUUUACUCUUGUUGCCCAGGCUGGAGUGCAAUGGCGCUAUCUCGGCUUGCCCAGGCUGGAGUGCAAUGGCGCUAUCUAGGCUCACCGCAACCUUCGCCUCCCAGGUUCAAGCGAUUCUCCUGCCUCAGCCUCCCAAGUAGCUGGGAUUACAGGCAUGAGCCACCAUGCCCGUCUAAUUUUGUAUUUUUAGUAGAGACGGGGUUUCUCCAUAUUAAGUCAGGCUGGUCUCGAACUCCCGACCUCAGGUGAUCCUCCCGCCUCAGCCUCCCAAAGUGCUGGGAUUACAGGCGUGAGCCACGGCGCCCGGCCCUGCCAUUUCUACUUAUUUACGUUGUUCCAAAUUAUCAAAGAUAGCAUCAACUUUCAAAUCCUAAUUUUUUUUUUCCUGGGAAACCUUCCUCCUUUAGCCUUCAGUCUCCUCUCUAAACUGGGUUGGGCCUCAGUUCUUCUCAUACCGGGUCUCCCCUUCCUGCUGUCCUGGGUUGUAUCUUCCGCUUCCUAGAUUUAAGGUCUUUAUUUUUCAGCCAAGAUGGGUCAUCCUCAUGGCUGGUGGCAUUGGACUGUAAAUACUAGUUGCCUUCAUCCCCACAUUUGGAAUAUACCUGCAAUCAUACAGGAUGCAGAAUACUGUUUGCUAAGCGUGGGGCUGGUUGCUGGAGAUAACAAGCAAGGCCUACCAGGUCCCUGCUGUCAUUCUGGCUCUGGAUCUACUUGCUUGGCUCCCCUGCCAGCCCUAGUAUAUCGAGCCUUCCUUUUUAUUCAAUAGUGUUUUUUAUUGCUGACUUUUCAGUCAAGAUUUCUUUGUGUUUUCUGGCCUACCCUUGCUGUUUUUCACCUGAAAUGCUUUUUGGCUUUUAGUGUGACUCCUGCUGAUCUCAUAUGCAUAUGUUAUUAAUUGAUUAAUUAUU